AUUCUGGCUCAGAUUGAACGCUGGCGGCAGGCCUAACACAUGCAAGUCGAACGGUAACAGGAAGCAGCUUGCUGCUUCGCUGACGAGUGGCGGACGGGUGAGUAAUGUCUGGGAAACUGCCUGAUGAGGGGGAUAACUACUGGAAACGGUAGCUAAUACCGCAUAACGUCGCAAGACCAAAGAGGGGGACCUUCGGGCCUCUUGCCAUCGGAUGUGCCCAGAUGGGAUUAGCUAGUAGGUGGGGUAACGGCUCACCUAGGCGACGAUCCCUAGCUGGUCUGAGAGGAUGACCAGCCACACUGGAACUGAGACACGGUCCAGACUCCUACGGGAGGCAGCAGUGGGGAAUAUUGCACAAUGGGCGCAAGCCUGAUGCAGCCAUGCCCGCGUGUAUGAAGAAGGCCUUCGGGUUGUAAAGUACUUUCAGCGGGGAGGAAGGGAGUAAAGUUAAUACCUUUGCUCAUUGACGUUACCCGCAGAAGAAGCACCGGCUAACUCCGUGCCAGCCGCGGC
rnacentral:rRNA from 1 species